GAUGAACGCUAGCGGCAGGCUUAACACAUGCAAGUCGAGGGGUAUAGUUCUUCGGAACUAGAGACCGGCGCACGGGUGCGUAACGCGUAUGCAAUCUACCUUUCACAAAGGGAUAGCCCCAGAGAAAUUUGGAUUAAUACCUUAUAGUAAUACGACUUGGCAUCAAGAUGUAUUUAAAGAUUUAUCGGUGAAAGAUGAGCAUGCGUCCCAUUAGCUUGUUGGUAAGGUAACGGCUUACCAAGGCAACGAUGGGUAGGGGUCCUGAGAGGGAGAUCCCCCANACUGGUACUGAGACACGGACCAGACUCCUACGGGAGGCAGCAGUGAGGAAUAUUGGACAAUGGGCGCAAGCCUGAUCCAGCAAUGCCGCGUGCAGGAUGAA
rnacentral:rRNA from 1 species